GUGAAACCUCUGCAAGCUGCAUGGAAACUUUUUAAAGACACCAUGAUAGAGGCUCAACUGAAAUCUAUACCCCAAAUUAAAAAACAUAGUAAGAGAACCAAAAAAGUGCCACCGUGGCUAAACAACAAAGUAAAAGAAGCAGUGAGAGG